rnacentral:antisense_RNA from 1 species
GUUGAGGUGCAAGGUAAGCCCCCGUUUAGUUGCCAGGUUUAUACCAGACAACGUGCGGGGGUUUUCU